rnacentral:lncRNA from 1 species
CAAUGAACUCUGUUUUCUUUGUCCGGGCAGAACAUCUGUUGGAACUUUGUCAACAUGAGGAUGACUUGACAGAGGAAACUUUCGAUGAGGACUACAGGGGGCCACUGGAUUUCAGAGCUGCAUGAGAUCUUGGAGUAACCACUUCUCAUUACCAUGCUUGAACGUCAGGUGAAGUGAAGGCAGGAGACAGGUCUUAAAAACCUCUGUGUCACUGGAGGUCUGUUGAGGGAAAAACAUAGGUCUUCUUAGUCCUAACAAAGCUUAGCCUUGACCCAGAAGAAGAAGAAGAAGAAGAAGAAGAAGAAGAAGAAGAAGAAGAAGAAGAAGAAGAAG